GGGCUCGUGGUGUAAAGGGAACACAUCUGUUUUGCACACAGAGGAUCGGGGUUCGAUUCCCUGCGGGUCCA
rnacentral:tRNA from 1 species